rnacentral:tRNA from 1 species
GCGGGAAUAGCUCAGUUGGUAGAGCAUAACCUUGCCAAGGUUGGGGUCNUUCAAAAGGCACUUAUCGGA